rnacentral:rRNA from 1 species
GAUGAACGCUGGCGGCGUGCCUAACACAUGCAAGUCGAACGGAGUCGUUUUGGAAAUCUCUUCGGAGAUGGAAUUCUCGACUUAGUGGCGGACGGGUGAGUAACGCGUGAGCAAUCUGCCUUUAAGAGGGGGAUAACAGUCGGAAACGGCUGCUAAUACCGCAUAAAGCAUCAAAUUCGCAUGUUUUUGAUGCCAAAGGAGCAAUCCACUUUUAGAUGAGCUCGCGUCUGAUUAGCUAGUUGGCGGGGUAACGGCCCACCAAGGCGACGAUCAGUAGCCGGACUGAGAGGUUGAACGGCCACAUUGGGACUGAGACACGGCCCAGACUCCUACGGGAGGCAGCAGUGGGGAAUAUUGCGCAAUGGGGGAAACCCUGACGCAGCAACGCCGCGUGAUUGAAGAAGGCCUUCGGGUUGCAAAGAUCUUUAAUCAGGGACGAAAAAAUGACGGUACCUGAAGAAUAAGCUCCGGCUAACUACGUGCCAGCCGCCGCCGUAA